rnacentral:rRNA from 1 species
UACGGAGGGGGCGAGCGUUAUUCGGAAUUAUUGGGCGUAAAGGGCGCGUAGGCGGCUUGACAAGUCAAAGGUGAAAGCCCUCGGCUUAACUGAGGAAGUGCAUCCGAAACUGGCAGGCUAGAGUACUAAAGAGGGUCGCGGAAUUCCCGGUGUAGAGGUGAAAUUCGUAGAUAUCGGGAGGAACACCGGUGGCGAAGGCGGCGACCUGGGUAGAUACUGACGCUGAGGUGCGAAAGCGUGGGGAGCAAACAGG